rnacentral:rRNA from 1 species
AUCUACGGCCAUGCUGCCCUGAACGCGCCCAAUCCCAUCUGAUCUCAGAAGUUAAGCAAGGUUGGGCCUGGUUAGUGCUUGGAUGGGAGACCACUUGGUAAUACCGGGUGCUGUAGGAA